AAGAGAACGAUGCCCUGCGCCAACGCGCC
rnacentral:sRNA from 1 species